GGGGAAUAUUGGGCAAUGGACGCAAGUCUGACCCAGCAACGCCGCGUGAAGGAAGAAGGCUUUCGGGUUGUAAACUUCUUUUAAGGGGGAAGAGUAGAAGACGGUACCCCUUGAAUAAGCCACGGCUAACUACGUGCCAGCAGCCGCGGUAAUACGUAGGUGGCAAGCGUUGUCCGGAUUUACUGGGUGUAAAGGGCGUGUAGCCGGGAAGGUAAGUCAGAUGUGAAAUCUGGGGGCUCAACCUCCAAACUGCGUUUGAAACUGUGGUGCUUGAGUGAAGUAGAGGUAGGCGGAAUUCCCGGUGUAGCGGUGAAAUGCGUAGAGAUCGGGAGGAACACCAGUGGCGAAGGCGGCUUACUGGGCUUUAACUGACGCUGAGGCACGAAAGCAUGGGUAGCAAACA
rnacentral:rRNA from 1 species